UCACACCAGCCCCUCACCAGCCACCACCCUGGCCUUGCCCCCAGCUCCCUGCCCAGAACACCCACGGGAACAGGAGUUGGCCGCCUGACAUCAGCAGUAGCCAGUGUGGUUGCUGGGCAGCGAGAGUCUCCAUGGGAACGGCUGGGCCAUGAGCACUUCCUGUCACAGCUGCCCCUGGGCCGCCCUCACUCGGGGACAGCACCAGGCGGUGACCCCCCUCAGGGACAUGACUGAGAAGCUCUGCCCUAGGGCAGGGGCUCACCCACCCUAGCUUGGCCUCCUGCCAGUGUAAGGUCUGUCACUGUCCAGAUGUGUAACUUUGUUUCCCAGACAGACAGACCGACAGACCGUAAGGUGAGUUCUCAGGUAAGGAGUAAACAAACAGCAGACAUAUAUCUUAAAGUCUGGUGCUUGCUACCGGACAUACAGACAGCGCUCAAGACAUCAUGGCGGAUUGUUUUAAAGCAUCGUCACCCCUCUUGGUUUUUUACUCAUUCCUGGGGUGCCUCAGCCUGCUGAAGCUCCUCACCAUUCUCGGGGUGCUCCAUUUCACCUAUGCUGCCGUCAGGGGUGGUACGCUCAUAGUGGUCCUCAGGAAGAGCCAGGGGACCAAGCCGGGGGCCGGAGGAUGACUUGCUAGAGGGUGUUUCCGAUUCCUCCAGGCCACUGUCAUAAUAACUGUGCUGUGAUGGAUCCUGCAGCUCCUGGGCCUGACUGGUGGCCGAGAAGGUGACACGGCGGUGAGGUAACUGUAGGGAGAGAGAGUGUCACUCUUGGCUGGCUAGCCUCCUCCAUGGGGCCCAGCACCACACCAGUCCCCAAGCCCAACAGGACCCUCCCAGGCCACAGCAGCAGCCAAGAGGAGGCCCGGCCCCUUAGUACAGCAUAGGCCCCAGAAAGCACAACCUCUAGCAGAGAUGCCUCGCAAUUGAAGGCUAGCUCCCAGUACAGCCAAGUCCACACACUCAAAAGUCCCAACACAGCAUAGGUUCCCACGGUUAUCACCGUCCCCAGACCGCCAUCCCCAAUCGUAAACCAUUUCAGCACAGCUCUUCUGGCCCUAGCCAAGCUUCCCGAUACAGGCAUGGCCUCCCUUGCCUUUCCAGAAGAAGUGCCAGGAGAGAGUAGAGCCGAAGAGCAGAACAGCACAGACUCAGCCAAGUCCAAAUGCCAGCCUGGCCUCUAAACACCAGCGUGGGCCUCAAGCAUCUCAAACAGCAUCCUGAAAGCAGAGGACUCCUAAUUCCCAGAGAGCUCCUCUGCACAGAGGAGUCUAAGUGUACCUUCUAGGCUUGAGCUCCUCACCGGUCUCACUGCUCUGAGACUUGCCAUUGCCUCCAUCCAAAAGGGACCAACCUCUUGCAUCUUGCUCCUCAGACCACGUCUGUAGUGCUGAGGCCUCAAAGAGCCCCAUCCUACUGAGCCCUCAGCCACCCUAAUACAUCCCUUCAUAGAG